rnacentral:rRNA from 1 species
CCCAGACUCCUACGGGAGGCAGCAGUGGGGGAUAUUGCACAAUGGAGGGAACUCUGAUGCAGCGACGCCGCGUGAGGGAAGAAGGUUUUCGGAUUGUAAACCUCUGUCUUCGGUGACGAAACGAGACGGUAGCCGAGGAGGAAGCCACGGCUAACUACGUGCCAGCAGCCGCGGUAAUACGGAGGAUGCGAGCGUUAUCCGGAUUUAUUGGGUUUAAAGGGUGCGCAGGCGGCACGGCAAGCCGGCGGUCAAAUCGCGGGGCUCAACCCCGCCCAGCCGUCGGAACUGCCGGGCUAGAGUGGGCGAGAAGUGCGCGGAAUGCGUGGUGUAGCGGUGAAAUGCAUAGAUAUCACGCAGAACUCCGAUUGCGAAGGCAGCGCACCGGCGCCCUACUGACGCUCAGGCACGAAAGCGUGGGUAUCGAACAGGAUUAGAUACCCGUGUAC